UUGAUGUACACAUCGGCAGCACUUGAAGAUCAUGUGCAGAGCUCAUGUCUCAGCAAUUCUAGACCAAUCCCUGCCCAGAAAUAAGACACAGCCUUCACGGCGACAGGAAUGGAGACGAUUCACUCUCCAGCCAGAAUAUCUCAAGCCAGUAGUUGUUUGAAGGCUUUGACAAGGAAGCAAGAGUAACUGGGACUUUUCCUAGCUCAUUUCUUGCUAUCAAACUCCUGACUCCAUCCAGCUGUCAUCAUUUCUUGAUGAGUCAGCAUUUCAGAGCUAGGUUUGUUGCUCUUCCCCCAUAUGUAAGAAACUCCAUUCUAGGCAGUAAAUGAAGCCACUCCUCAAUUCAAGAACCAAGGUCUUUUGUUCCCCUAGUAAGGAUAUUCAACUCAAAGUAAAUGAAUGGGAGACAGGCAGAACAAAGUUUGGAAACCCUUGGUCACUGGCAGGUGGUACAAAUAAUUCUCUCCCUUUACAUAAGGCAGUUUAGGUGGCAACAUGACAGGAAGUUCCACAAAGCCCUCUCCAGCACUAACGCUAGGGGAAGCAGGAUGUUCUCGGGAAGGAGAAGAGCUGGUGUGCAUUCUCCAGCAAAGAGCUACAAUGAAAGUCCCUGUGGACUCACCAUUUUUCACGCUCUUCACCGCAGGCAUAUUUAUUAAAAGAGAACUAGAGCUUGGCUGUUGGCUGAGUUAAUAUACAGGUUUGGAAGCUCUGAUCUGCCAAGACAGGUCUGAGGAGCCCCCUCUGUGGGGUCAGGAGACCAGCAGUAUAUUUCAGGGAAGCAGAAGCUGUGAAACAAUACUAUCUCAGCCUCUUCUAUGCCUUCCCCACAUCGGCGCUCUCAAUUAAAACUAGCCAUUAUUGUGUAAGUAAAAUACUUUCAAAGUGAAUGCUUUAUAUUAUUCCCUCUAUCCUACCCAGUUUAUCUGCCUGGUCAUUGUUUGUGAUAAAAUCUCAACCUUUAUUUCUAUCUAAUAGGUCUCCUUUAUUUGAAUCCAUAGUGACUGGAUUUAAUGGAGAGCUGGUAAAAAGCCAGGGAAAGUGAUAUGAUGAAAAUCAUCUACUCAAAACCCACUGGUGCUAAAUAUUAUCUCGAGCACAAAGAUUAUACAUCCUAGGUCAGCAUGCAAUGAGCUCCAUAAUCUGACUCUGAUGAAUCUUUCCAACCACCUCUUCCAUAACUUAUACUUUGUAUUUUGAGGCAUCUUUCAUUUCAUCAGCCUACACUCUUCUUAUUUCACCCAGGGAAAUACACUUUUUAUUUUUACCCCCUCCCUCAACUUCUUCUCACAAAUGCUCCUUCCCAAGUCCAAAUAUGUGGUUUGAGAAGUGACAUCCAUAUUCUUUCCAACUUUAUGUUUUUACAAGGUCCACCCUCUCUGUAGUUGGUACAGGGUUGGGCAGCUGACCUAAGCUAGGCACCAGCAUAGGAUUUUAGAACUUGAACCAGAGUCUGAGUUUCUGCUUGGUAGCACACUUGGAAGGUGGGCUAACAGAAGAAGUAGAGCCAUGAUUCCAACCAGGAGGAUAAAGACAGUCCAGAAGAAUGAAAAUGACAAGCUGAGAGAAUCAGAGGGGGUGGAGAGUGAGUUCUGGUGAUUUUCAAGCCAUUUGUCCCAUUUAUCGUUACAACCAGCUGUACUUCUGCCUGUCCCACAAUUUUGUGAGCCUUACUGUUAAUUUCCAUUUUUACCUGAGCUAUGGCAAGUUGAUCUUUUUAGUCACUUGCAACCAAAAUAAUUUCAAUGAACACAUAUGCUCGAUGCUGUUUCCUCUGUUUGCCUGCCUCUGUAGCUGCUGUUUCCUCUCUGAGAAUCCAUCCCUCACCUCUAACUCACAGAAUCCUACCUUUCUUUCAAGACCCAGUUAAAUGCCAAAGUGUUAAUUAAAAAUGGCAGCCAAUAUUUCCAGGCGAAGUGAUCACGCUCUCUUCCGCUCUUUUGCACUCAGGACUCCUUACGGCAGUUCAUUCUCCUGUAUAAUAAAGCUACAUACGUACUUGUCUGAUUGUACCACUUGUCCUCCAUUAAUUAUAAAGUUUCCUAAGGGAAGAGACUGUGUGAUCAGUGGUUUGCCAGUCCCCAUAAGAUCUAGCACUGGACUGUCACGUGAGAAGAAAUAUUCAUUUAGCUUUUUCUUGAGUUGUAUAUCCAUCUGAGUCCUCCAAGACACGGGAGGAGAGUUCUAGAAGUAGAUAAGUUUCCUAAUCAAGCAAAUUCCAUCUAACAACAGUAUGUUCUAAGCAUGAGUUUCAGGCUCCUGGAAUAGGCACUUUACCCACAGCAAAGCCAUUGGCAUACAGCCUCUUUCUUCAGUUCCUGCUCAAAACAGGUAUGCAAACACAUCGUUUCUGCAGGGCAGCAUUACCCAUGGGGACCUCCCUUAUGAGGUCCAUUAUGAGCCAUUAUGAGGUCAUGGAAUGCUGCUGCUGGUGGGCCUCCAAAGAAUACUCCUCACUCAACUUUGGGACAGGAUCAGGACAUAGGACCAACCUAGGAUCUGGAAACUAACAAGAACCAGCUAUCUAUAGAAGUUGCUGCCCUAAGAGAUCCUCGAGAUUCCAUAGCAUGAAAGCAAUGCAUCCUCUGAUGACAAGGAGGGCAUCUGUUCGGAAAGCGAAAACUGGGCAAGAGCAAGCAGGGUCAUCCAGAGGAGACCCCUCUUCAGGCACCGGAACCCCAACUCCAGCCUGACAUUUAAGAGGACCCUGUGCUUAGCACAGAGGCUAUGGGAGGCACAUUAAAAAGCUCCCAGGUGAUGAGAUGCUGCUACACACUGGACUACACUUUGAGUAGCGCUUGUCAAGGAGGAAUGAUGGGAUAAAAAAGAGGAAUCCAGAGCGGAAACAGGAAGAUGCGGCAGGAUAUGAGCCUCAGCUCCUGGAAGGCGCUAUUGGAAAAGGGAGCAGACCCUCUCAGGUGGCUGGCCGUCCAGCUUCUGCUACGUCUGUGAGGUGGCUCAGUUUCGUCUGUCUGCAAAGUCCUGCCUUCCUUCAAGCUGAUGCCUCCCUCCUGUUGGUCCAGAGGAAAGACAGGACCAGUGGCUGGAGCAGGGACUGCAUGCCCCUGCUGCCCAGGACCCUCGGGGGAGCCCGGGAGAGAGGACCUGGAGCCUGACAGCUCUCCCCACUGAGCCUCAGGCCUGCGCUUGGGAGCACGGCUGAAAGUCAUCGUGCUGCUCUUCUGUCGUACAGGACUGGGAGACUCAAAAGAGGAAGCAAAGGGACCAUGACGCUCUCACAAGUGAAAUGAGGAAAAAUAAUGAAUUUUUAACAAAGCUAAAUUUAUUCAGUUUAAAGGACUCUCCUUUAUGCUUAGAUUAAAACUUCCUGUUUUUUUAACUAUCAUUUAUUAAAUUAAAGUAAUUGAUAGUCGUAUGUGUG